AUGUAAAGAUGCAAAGACGCAAAUUCGUUAAUGUUCCAUAUUUUCUCUCUUCUUCGUAAAAAUUGUAUUUCUUUUCCAUAAUCUCUCUCACACGUUACAAUUUCAGAACCUCCAAACUUGUAUGUAAGCAAGAUCUGUAUUCUUCGAGCAACAUCCAUGAAUAUCAACGGUAUCAAGAAGCAGAAUGAGAUAAUCCUGAUGGAUAAACAUGGCGUGAAGUGCGUAACGAAGCUGGUGAGGGAUGGAUCAAAAUAUGGAAAAAGAGGAUUGGGAAAAGGAUGCAAAGAUUUCUGUGAAGCUAGUGAUGUAUUGAAGAUUGGACAGCCUUUUAUGUCGGAAUUGGUUUGGGAAGACAGUGUUCCUGUUCUUACGUUUUUGUUCUAAGGUCAAGGUUGAAACAAUCUGUGACUAAUAAAGAACGGAGUAAUUUAAUUAAUGUCUCUAAAUUAGAUAA